UUUUCAAUGAAAGAAACUUUGGCUCGACUGAAUGCAAAGGCUCGAAUGGGCCCUGCUGUAGUGAUUUCAGCACCAGAGUCAGGUCCCAAGAGGAUAUGGAGGGGGGCCGGGAAGGAUUUAACCUCCUGGCCCCUCUAAGGAACCUGAUGACGAGGUCAUGCUUACCUAAAGACUUCCCAUUCACGGGGUCAUGGUACGCAGCAAUAGCGGCAACCUGGACUUUGAGGGUGGAGGGAGACAGCCUUCGCUCCAGCCCUUGCUGCAGAAAGGAAAGCACAACCGCAAUCGGGCAUCUUCGGGGGUCUUCUCGGCGAGAAGAACACCACUCGACGAACAGGUUCCACUUCAAGGCAUAAGCGUGUCUUGUAGACGGUGCUCUUGCCGAAGUGAUGGUGUUCACUACCUCCUGGGGCAGGUCACCUAGAACCUCCGCGUCCCGUCCAGGGACCAGACAUGGAGUUUCCAAAGGUCUGGACGCGGGUGCCAAAUGGUGCCCCGUCUCUGAGUCAGUAGAUCCUUCCUCAGAGGAAUCGGCCAAGGAGGGGCUGUCGCGAGGAGCACUAGUUCGGGGAACCAGGUCCGCGGAGUAGAACAACUGGCAGUGAGCGGUCUCUGGAGAAGCAAACAGGUCUACCUGAGCGGCUCCGAACCGUCUCCAAAUCAGCUGGACCGUCAGGGGAUGGAGUCGCCAUUCUCCCGGGAGCAUUGCUCGAGACAGCUCGUCGGCUGUACGGUUGAGCAGGCCUGGAAUGUGAACGGCACGAAGAGACCUCAGAACCUUCCGACUCCAAAGGAGGAGGUGGCGGGCGAGUUGUGACAUGCGACGGGAGCGCAGACCACCUUGUCGGUUGAUGUACGCAACGGUCGCCGUGUUGUCCGUUCGGACCAGCACAUGCUUGCCUCGUAAGUGACCUUUGAGACGGUUCAAGGCAAGGUGCACUGCUAACAACUCUAGGCAAUUGAUGUGCCACUGCAGCUGCGGGCCCGUCCAAACCCCUGAGACUGCAUGCCCGUUGUACGUGGCCCCCCAGCCGGUGGUGGAGGCAUCCGUGUAAACCACAGCAUGCCUGGAGAUCUGCUCUAGGGGCACCCCUGCCCUGAGAAACGCAAGAUCUGACCACGGGGUGAAGGUUUGGCGACAGGCCGGUGUAACUUGGACCCAGUGAGUGCCACGCUUCCACGCCC
ensembl:lncRNA